UCUUAACUGGCCUUCUGUGUUUAUCACCAGAGUUGCCGUCUCAGAUAUUCCUGCUGCCAAGACCCCCACAGAAAAGAGCACAGGGAAGACAUCUUGGCUGCACAGGCUUUUCGGUCGACCAGUGAAUAAAGAAAAUGGACAGUGCAAAGACGCGGCCUGUCACGAUCCACCACCACAACAGCAGCUGAAAGUAUAAAAUCAGAGAAGAGCAGCUGGAGCAGCAAAAUCUUUGCCUGCUGCAGAAGAAACAAUCGAGUCGCUCCAGCUGCUUACGACAAAGACGAGCAGAGAAGAGCAGAGAAACCCUGCAGAAGUCCUGUGGAAACUCCAGAUGACUCACACUGCAGAUGAGGUUGAUGAGGUGCUUGAGUUUAAAGCUCCUGAAGAGAAAGAUGAGGAAGCAGCGGACGAGGAAACAGACAAGGAGCAAAGGAACGAGCUGCCCUUUGUUAGCACUCCAGGAGACCAGGAGGUGCUGCAGCCACUGUGCAACCAGGACACGUCCUCCAGAAGUCCUGUCAAAUCUACAAAGAAGACUCACACUGCAGAUGAG